GUAAACCCAUAAAGAUAACAAUCUAAAAGUCAGAAUAUUUUCCCUCUCGUUAAUUCAUUUCCUCAAUGGGUGAUAAACAAGGCAAUGUUGAGGAAACAAACCCACGUUGACUAUUGCACAUACUGAAUCAGUAGCUGUCCACAUUGUACAUGAGUUUGUGGAGUGCAUUGUCACUGUAAAUGGAAAAACGUGACACAAAGCGGACCUGUCUUCUUUCUGGUUGGUUCAUCUUUGAUAUGGCCGUACUGGUUGGAGUACUCGUUAUUGAAAUUGGGAGCCAGAAACAGAGCGGAACAGGAUCAGAAUGGAAGUUAUCACUGGAUAAGGUGUACCAAAACUUGGUGAUGAAUGGUGUUUCGACCACAGAGCAUUCAGAACAAUCCUAUCAAGCAUAUGAUAAUGAUACUGGGAACGACCAUCCAGAUCAGCAGUUUCUCAAUCUG